CCUACGGGGCGCAGCAGUGGGGAAUAUUGGACAAUGGGGGAAACCCUGAUCCAGCGAUGCCGCGUGAGUGAGGAAGUAUUUCGGUAUGUAAAGCUCUAUCAGCAGGGAAGAAAAUGACGGUACCUGACUAAGAAGCCCCGGCUAACUACGUGCCAGCAGCCGCGGUAAUACGUAGGGGGCAAGCGUUAUCCGGAAUUACUGGGUGUAAAGGGAGCGUAGACGGUUAAGUAAGUCUGGAGUGAAAGGCCGGGGCCCAACCCCGGGACUGCUCUGGAAACUAUUCAACUUGAGUUCCUGCGAGGUAA
rnacentral:rRNA from 1 species